rnacentral:rRNA from 1 species
UACAGAGGUCCCAAGCGUUGUUCGGAUUCACUGGGCGUAAAGGGUGCGUAGGUGGCGAGGUAAGUCGGAUGUGAAAGCUCGGAGCUCAACUCCGAAAUGGCAUUGGAAACUACCUGGCUUGAGGGUUGGAAGGGGGACUGGAAUUCUCGGUGUAGCAGUGAAAUGCGUAGAUAUCGAGAGGAACACCAGUGGCGAAGGCGACUCUCUGGUCUGUAACUGACGCUGAGGAGCGAAAGCGUGGGAAGCAAACAGG